AAGUAGUGUGACAUGUCCAUUUUGGUGAUAUACUCUGAUGUUUAUUUAUUAUUUAAUUGUUUUGGGAUAACAGGGUGUUACACUAAA
rnacentral:pre_miRNA from 1 species